rnacentral:rRNA from 1 species
UACAGAGGUCCCAAGCGUUGUUCGGAUUCACUGGGCGUAAAGGGUGCGUAGGUGGCCGGGUAAGUCUGAUGUGAAAUCUCCGAGCUCAACUCGGAAACUGCAUCGGAUACUAUCCGGCUAGAGGAAUGGAGGGGAGACUGGAAUGCUUGGUGUAGCAGUGAAAUGCGUAGAUAUCAAGCGGAACACCAGUGGCGAAGGCGAGUCUCUGGACAUUUCCUGACGCUGAGGCACGAAAGCUAGGGGAGCAAACGGG